CCUGGUUGAUCCUGCCAAUAUUCAUAUGCUUGUCUCAAAGAUUAAGCCAUGCAUGUGUAAGUAUGAACAAAGUCAGACUGUGAAACUGCGAAUGGCUGAUUAAAUCAGCUAUAGUUUAUUUGAUGGUAUAUACUACUCGGAUAACUGUAGUAAUUCUAGAGCUAAUACGUGAAACAAACCCCGAAUUAUGAAAGGGAUACAUUUAUUAGAUAAGAGGUCGAGGGGGAAUCUGCCCGUUUCUACGAUGAUUCAUGAUAACUCAACGGAUCGCAUGGCCAUCGUGCCGGCUACGCAUCAUUAAAAUUUCCAUCCUAUCAAGUUUCGAUAGUAGGAUAGUGGCCUACUAGGUGGUGACGGGUGAUGGGUGACGGAGAAUUAGGCUUCAAUUUCGGAGAGGAAGCCUGAGAAAUGGCUACAACAUCCAAGGAAGGCAGCAGGCGCGCAAAUUACCCAAUCCUGACAUGGGGAGGUGGUGACAAUAAAUAACAAUACCGAGCUCAAUGAGUCUGGUAAUUGGAAUGAGUACAAUCUAAAUCUCUUAAUGAGGAUCCAUUGGAGGGAGAGUCUGGUGCCAGCGGCUGCGGUAACUCCAGCACCAAUAAUGUAUAUUUAAGUUGUUUCAGUUAAAAAGCUCAAAGUUGGACUUUGGGAUUGGCCGGCCAGUGCGCCUAUGGUGUGUAUCUGUCAUCUCAUCCCUUCUGUUGGCGAUGCGCUCCUGGCCUUAACUGGUUGGGUCGUGCCUUCGAUGCUGUUACUUUGAAAAAAUUAGAGUGCUUAAAGAAAGACUACGCUCUAUAUACAUUAGCAUGGGAUAACAUUAUAGGAUUUUGGUACUAUUACGUUGGCCUUCGGGAUCGGAGUAAUGAUUAACAGGGACAGUCGGGGACAUUCGUAUAUCAUAGUCAGAGGUGAAAUUAUUGGAUAUACGAAAUACGAACAACUGCGAAAGCAUUUUCCAAGGAUGUUUUCAUUAAUCAAUAACGAAAGUUGGGGGCUCGAAGGCGGUCAGAUACCAUCCUAGUCUCAACCAUAAAUGAUGCCGACCAAGGAUCGGUGGACGUUGCUUUUAGGACUCCGCCAGUACCUUAUGAGAAAUCAAAGUUUUUAGGUUUCUGGGGGAGUAUGGUUGCAAGGGUAAAACUAAAAGGAAUUGAUGGAAGGGCAUCACCAGGAGUGGAGCCUGUGGCUUGAUUUGACUCAACACGGGGAAACUUACCGGGUCCAGACAUAGUAAGGAUUGACAGACUUAGAGCUCUUUCUUGAUUCUAUGGGUGGUGGUGCAUGGUCGUUCUUAGUUGGUGGAGCGAUUUGUCUGGUUAAUUCCGUUAAUGAAUGAGACCUCAGCCUGCUAACUAGCUAUGCGGAGGUAUCCCUUCGCGGCCAGCUUCUUAGAGGGACUACGACCUUUUAGGCUGCAGAAGUUUAAGGCAAUAACAUGUCUGUGAUGCCCUUAGAUGUUCUGGGCCGCAUGCGCGCUACACUGAUGUAUUCAAUGAGUUUAUAGCCUUGGCCGACAGGCCCGGGUAAUCUUUGAAAUUUCAUCGUGAUGGGGAUAGAUUAUUGCAGUUGUUGGUCUUUAACGAGGAAUUCCUAGUAAGCGUAAGUGAUCAGCUCGCGUUGACUAUGUCCCUGCCCUUUGUACACACCGCCCAUCGCUCCUACCGAUUGAAUGAUCCAGUGAAAUAUUUAGAUUGCGGCAGCGUGGGCGGUUCACUACCCGUGACGUUGUGAAAAGUCUAUUGAACCUUAUCAUUUAAAGGAAGUAGAAUUCAUAAUAAGGUUUGCAUAGGUGAACCUGCGGAAG
rnacentral:rRNA from 1 species